rnacentral:rRNA from 1 species
GAACGCUGGCGGCGUGCUUAACACAUGCAAGUCGAACGGAGAGGCCCUGCUUUUGUGGGGUGCUCGAGUGGCGAACGGGUGAGUAACACGUGAGUAACCUGCCCUUGACUUUGGGAUAACUUCAGGAAACUGGGGCUAAUACCGGAUAGGAGCUCCUGCUGCAUGGUGGGGGUUGGAAAGUUUCGGCGGUUGGGGAUGGACUCGCGGCUUAUCAGCUUGUUGGUGGGGUAGUGGCUUACCAAGGCUUUGACGGGUAGCCGGCCUGAGAGGGUGACCGGCCGCAUUGGGACUGAGAUACGGCCCAGACUCCUACGGGAGGCAGCAGUGGGGAAUAUUGCACAAUGGGCGGAAGCCUGAUGCAGCAACGCCGCGUGCGGGAUGACGGCCUUCGGGUUGUAAACCGCUUUCGCCUGUGACGAAGCGUGAGUGACGGUAAUGGGUAAAGAAGCACCGGCUAACUACGUG